GCAGCGGAGCGCUCAGCUCAAAACGGGAGGAGGUGGAGAUUUAUUUCUGCCUUGCCCAUUAGUCGGGAAAGCUGUAUGUUGCUGCUGCUGCCAGUUUUGAUCGGCAGGUAUUUUCGAUAUUCUCCCUUUUACGAGGUUGGUUGUGAAGUGGGCGAGAGGCUGAUGCAUUGCUGAGUGAUGUCCAAAACCACAGGGAAAAGACCAGCCAAUUCUGAAAGAGUCGCAUUUUCAGAUCCUGCAAAACGGGACCAAGAUUAAGAAGUAGGUCCAGGAACAGCAGCAACAUUGCUUAAAAAUGUCAAAACAUUGUAGUCAGCUGGGACUGGAGUCAACCACUAAUCCAACAGAGAAGAUUGCUGCUCCAUCUACAACUUGUGCCAGACUCUGCAUGGAAGCUGUCAGCUGUCAGCUGAAAUCAGUGUGAAGGAAAGGCAGGUGAUCUAGAAAAUGAAAGUUUCUCUCGCUGCUGAAUUCAGAAUGAAGGGAAAUUAAUGCUCUUGCUGCUGUUUCUCCAGGGACUAAGAUUUUCACCAAUAAAUGUUCCAAUUACAGCUAUGAAGAUGAACACAGAGACACGCAAAGAAACUGGAGCAUCAUCGCCAAAAUGAAACUGUGAAUGAGGAGGUCCUACUUCAACCUCAGAUGCAGCAUUUCCCUGCUGCCCCAUUGCAACCUGCCAAGGUUGAAAGAUAAGCCUCAAAAACUGGAAUUGGCCAAGAUUCAUGGAUCUCUGAGAAUAACAGAACAACAGAGUUGGAAGGAAUCUUGGAGGGUCUUGUAGUCCAACCUCCUGCUGAAGCAGGAAAGCCUAUUCAAUUUCAG